rnacentral:rRNA from 1 species
ACAAGCGGUGGAGCAUGUGGUUUAAUUUCGAUGAUACGCGAGGAACCUUACCUGGGCUCAAAUGUAUGUUGACGUAUUCUGAAAGGGGUACUUCUUCGGACAAUAUACAAGGUGCUGCAUGGUUGUCGUCAGCUCGUGCCGUGAGGUGUCGGGUUAAGUCCCAUAACGAGCGCAACCCCUAUCAUUAGUUGCCAUCAGGUCAAGCUGGGGACUCUAAUGAAACUGCCUACGCAAGUAGUGAGGAAGGUGGGGAUGACGUCAAGUCAUCAUGGCCCUUACGGCCUGGGCUACACACGUGCUACAAUGGUCGGUACAAAGGGUUGCCAAGCCGCGAGGUGGAGCUAAUCCCAUAAAACCGAUCGUAGUCCGGAUCGCAGUCUGCAACUCGACUGCGUGAAGUCGGAAUCGCUAGUAAUCGUGAAUCAGAAUGUCACGGUGAAUACGUUCCCGGGCCUU